rnacentral:rRNA from 1 species
AUCAUAGUCAAAAUCUGAGUUUGAUCCUGGCUCAGAAGGAACGCUAGCUAUAUGCUUAACACAUGCAAGUCGAACAUUGUUUUCGGGGAGCUGGGCAGAAGGAAAAGAGGCUCCUAGCUAAAGUUGUCUCGCCCUACUUCAAAACUACAGGGCGCGCGCUACGGCUUUGACCUAACGGCCUCCGUUUGCUGGAAUCGGAAUAGUUGAGAACAAAGUGGCGAACG